AUAUUGCUCCAUAGUUGAUAGUUGAUUGCUUCCCUCCUUCCUUUGGUGAUUGGUGAACGCGUUUCAACUUCUCAUUCUCUCUCUUCCCCUUUAGCUUAAUCCCCUCUUCUAAUCCUGAUUCAAGAUGAGAAAUAAUUUGUGGGUAUUCAAUGGAAUGAUGAUGAAAUUGCCCAUUUUGUUGUUAUUGUUUUUUCAUCUACAACUUCUUCCUUGUUGUUCCAUGAAUUCUGAAGGAAUAGCUUUGUUGGAAUUUAAAAAAAUGGUGGAAGAAGAUCCUUUUAAUGCCCUUUCUGAUUGGAAUUCUGAUAAAAAUCAUUGUUUUUGGUUUGGAGUUUAUUGCUCUGAUGGAAAUGUUGUUAUUCUGUAAGUUCUUCAUUUUGAUCUCUUUUCAUUUUUCUGUUUAUUUGCUCAUGACUUUUAU